CCUGUCCCUGUUCUCUCCCCUUGCCAGCAAAAAACACCCACCCUCCGAGCCCAGAUGCCCACUCCGGCAGCUGGAUCAGGAUCGGCGUCGUAGCUGGGGUUGAAAUCGUGUUGCUGUUAUCGAUUUACCUCGUGUUCUACUGCAAAUCCAAAGGUCACUGACUGGCCCCACGUGGCCAGGCUGGGCUGAGAUUUCAGCCACAGCCGGGCCGUGCCACCAGGACUGUCCCUACACUGUGAGCAGCCACGUGGCCUCGACCAACCUGUGCCCUGCACACAGGGCAUCCCAGUGCAUCCCAGUGCACCCAGAUGUCUCUGGUGCCAUUGGAACCCACCUUGGACAUGUGCCGAACCGUUCGGUGUGAUGACACCCUCCUGUCCCACAGAUGAGCUGGUUCUGCAGGUGCCAGCACGGACACUGCUGGAGGGGGACACGGUGACACUGUACUGCCAGGGCCGGUGGAACAGCACAGUCACCAAGGUGCAAUUUUACUGGGAUGAGAAUAAUCUGACGGGGUCCAUCAAUGUGACUGAGCUGUCCCUGUCCCCUCUGCAGCUGAACCACAGUGGCUGCUACAGUUGCAGGGACUUGGUGGAAUCCUUUAUUUCACGUUCAGCAGCAGUGACAGUGACAAUGCAUGGUGAGCAUCCCCUUCAGCUGGAACUCCAAUCUCCUGAUGCUCCAAACCACUUCCCAGUGGACUCAGAGGCACAGUCCUCACCUCCCCUCUCCUUCCCUGAGCUCUUCACAGUGCCAGUGCGGGAGGCUCCCCCCAAGCUCACCAUGGUGUCUGCCCAUGCCUCUCAUCUGCCUCAGCACCCCCAGCCACAUGUGGCCCCAAGCCCCCAUCCUGCACAUGUUCUACCGGGACGGGCAGGUGGUGGGGGGCCCACAGAGGUUCCCGCAGCUGCUGGUGCCCGCCAUGAGGGUCUCCCACUCGGGAAAUUACAGCUGCGAGGUGCGCUCUGAGGUGGGUGCUGUGUGGAAGAGCAGCGCCCGGCUCUGCGUCACGGUGUGCAGUGAGUGUGGGGAUGGGCAUGGGGAGCCCCCACAGCCUCCUUGGGUCUCCCGCCUGGGCACCUCCAUGUCCCCCUGACACCUUUCUUCUGUCCUUCCAUCACUCUGCUUAUCCCCUUGCCCCUCUGUGGUGUGACCCCAACCGUGACAUCCCCCAUCAUACCCAUCCCCCCCAUCUAUAUUCCCCCACACCAGCUGCCAGCCUCUCCCUGUGGCCUCAGCCCUGUCUGUGCCCUGCAGUGCCUGUGGCAAAUGCCACCAUCACCCCCGGUCCCCUCUCACACCAGGUGUGUGCGGGUGACCCCGUGACCCUGCGCUGCUCGGUGCAGGUGGGCUCAGCCACUGUCACCUUCACCUGGCUGCACAACGGGCAGGAGGUGUUCCGGGGUCCCAUCCUGGUGCUUAGGGACAUCGAUGUGGGACAUUCGGGCACCUACCAGUGCGUGGCCACCAACCAGCUGGGACAGGACGGGCACCGUGUGUUCUGGGCACUCAACCCAGAGCUGGCACUCGGGGUGUUAUCUGGCUCAGCCUGGGUCACAGGUGGGGUCACACAGGGUUGCCGGACUGUUCAGGUCCCCCUGUGGUUCAGGGUGAUCCCAGUGUGUCCUCUGUCCCCAGCAGUGGCUGUCAAUGUAGGCAGGACCCUCCAUUUCCUGGUCCUGCUCCUGGCUGUCAUCAAGGGCUGUCACUGGUGGCAUUGCCAGGGUGGGUGACACUGGGGGGGGAUGGGGGUCCUGGAGUGAGCGGAAGCCCCCAGAGUGGGAGCAGAGAUCAGGGAUCUGCUGGAAAUUGGGGUGCAGUGGGGAUUUGGGGGUCCCAGGAGUGGUUGGAAAUGCCGAGGUCCCUGGAAGUUUCAGGGGUCCCAGGGUCCCCUCAGUCACUCCUUCCCCUUUUCCUUGCUUCAACCAGGAAGACCCAGGACAGAUGAGUGAGGGGUUCUGGCUGGAACUCCCCUUUCCCCCUCCCCAGACACCACCCAGACCCCCUCUUUAUCCCCACAGGACCCCAGUGGAGGAGGGGGCAGUGGUGGACCCCCAUGUCAUGGGCAUCAAGUGGGCAGAGAGAGAAUUUGGGGGGGGACAGGGACACGUCACCCACGGGUGUCACCCCCCCACCCAGGUCCCCAUAACCGGUGUCAUUCUCAGGUCCCCAGUGGAUGUCCCCCAGCCCUGCCCCACCUCAGGAUCCACAAGUGACCAAUGUGGAGCUGUCGGCACCCUACAAGGGACAGUGGGACUCCCGUGACUACGAUGGCAUGCUGUGACAUUGGGGACACUGGAGGGCAUUGAUUCCCCUCAGGACUCUCUUCUUCCACUUCACAGCCCCCCACAGGGCUCCUCCUUCCUUCUCCCAGUGCUGAGGGAGCACAUGACAUUUUACCCUCUUAUUGUACCCAAAAUGCAGCUUUUUGAUUAAACUGUAUAAGAAACAA